rnacentral:tRNA from 1 species
AGCUUUAUAGUCAAUAAUGAUAUUAGACUGCAAUUCUAAAGGAGUAAAAAAUUAAUUACUAAGGCUU